GACGAACGCUGGCGGCGUGCUUAACACAUGCAAGUCGAACGGAAAGGCCCUGCUUUUGUGGGGUGCUCGAGUGGCGAACGGGUGAGUAACACGUGAGUAACCUGCCCUUGACUUUGGGAUAACUUCAGGAAACUGGGGCUAAUACCCGAUAGGAGCUCCUGCUGCAUGGUGGGGGUUGGAAAGUUUCGGCGGUUGGGGAUGGACUCGCGGCUUAUCAGCUUGUUGGUGGGGUAGUGGCUUACCAAGGCUUUGACGGGUAGCCGGCCUGAGAGGGUGACCGGCCACAUUGGGACUGAGAUACGGCCCAGACUCCUACGGGAGGCAGCAGUGGGGAAUAUUGCACAAUGGGCGGAAGCCUGAUGCAGCAACGCCGCGUGCGGGAUGACGGCCUUCGGGUUGUAACCCGCUUUCGCCUGUGACGAAGCGUGAGUGACGGUAAUGGGUAAAGAAGCACCGGCUAACUACGUG
rnacentral:rRNA from 1 species